GUGAUCUCAUGGCUGCUGGGGGGACAGGAUGGAACCACAGCCAUGAUAUUCCUCUCGAGGACAUCUGGGCCUGAGGGAGGUUUAGCUGACCAGCAGAUCAGGGUGGAACACACUGCAGAGCAGACAGGCAGCCCCAAAAUCCUGUCAUCUGCUCCUGCCAAGUGCCUGAUGCCCAGCUGUGUGUGGCUAAACCUGCCCAGUGGAGAAGAGCCAUGCUGAAAAUAAGCUUGUGCUUCGCUAUUUCCGUGCACAGCUGGGUGAUGAAGGAGCCAAGGAAUUUGUGGCCCUGGUCCAACACAGGUCUUUGGGUUCCCAUCCAUCCAUCCCCUGCCAGUCCCACAGACCACCGAGCAGGAACUGGGCACCUCACCUUGCACAGGGCAGGAACUGCAUCCCCUGAUCACCCCGGUCUUGUUUGCCUUGGUGGCUGUCCACUGGUAGAUGAAGAGGAUGGUGCGGGACGGGCCAGCAUCCAGAACGAUGCCAUACUGGAAAACCCGCAAAAUAUUCCAGGAGAGAAUGAAGCCAGGAGAUGAUGAGGAUUUGCAGGGAAUCAUCUGCAUUCCUGAAUAUACAUGAGGAACAGCAGGAAUGGAGAAAUGCCCAGAAACACAUCAGGCCUCCAGUGGCACCCUCUGGAGCUGUUCCUGAAACCAGGCAGAGGGCUUCCACCAGAGCUCAGCCACCUGGAGCUCAGGAAAAACAGGUCCUAGAGCAGUGGGAGAUGGCACUGUACAGGUUCUCCACUCAGUCUGGGGCUCAAACUGCUGCUGAUUGGUUUGCUAAGGCUUUUGUGCAGGAAUGGGAGGGCUGUGGCUUGUUUCUCCUGAGGAACCCGACACUCCCAUGUCUCUUUGACGCCCCAGUGCAGCGAUGGUGUGACAUGGGCUGGGUUUGCCCCAGUGUGUGCAGAGCUGUGGGAGCUGCAGCACGCUGGGACCAACCAGCACAGGCACUGUGUGAGGUGGCAGCCCCACAGAGACAGAGACAAUGUCUUGGCAGAAUGAGCAGAGCAGUGACCAUGAGCUUUCUCAACCCCUUGUCCCCCAACAGCUCUGCUACUGCCCAGCUGUGGGGCUGAGGCAUCUCUGCCUCUCUGC